UACGUAGGGUGCAGGCGUUAAUCGGAAUUACUGGGCGUAAAGCGUGCGCAGGCGGUCUUUUAAGUCAGAUGUGAAAUCCCCGGGCUUAACUGGGAACUGCGUUUGAAACUGAAAGGCUAGAGUGUGGCAGAGGGGGGUGGAAUUCCGACGUGUAGCAGUGAAAUGCGUAGAGAUGUGGAGGAAUACCGAUGGCGAAGGCAGCCUCCUGGGCCAACACUGACGCUCAUGCACGAAGCGUGGGAGCAAACAGGAUA
rnacentral:rRNA from 1 species